UACGUAGGUGUCGAGCGUUGUCCGGAUUUACUGGGCGUAAAGCGCCCGCAGGCGGCCAGGCAAGUCCAGGGUGAAAUCUCCCGGCUCAACCGGGAGGGUGCCCUGGAAACUGCCCGGCUUGAGGCAGGGAGAGGGAUGUGGAAUUCCCGGUGUAGUGGUGAAAUGCGUAGAUAUCGGGAGGAACACCAGUGGCGAAGGCGGCAUCCUGGCCCUGUCCUGACGCUCAGGGGCGAAAGCGUGGGGAGCAAACCGG
rnacentral:rRNA from 1 species